rnacentral:lncRNA from 10 species
AAAAUACACGUUUUCUCCUUUUGGAAAGCAAGCAAUGCUUAAGCAAAAUACCUUAAAAGUUAACUAAAAAGCUUUUCUAAAAUAAACAACUCUGCUUGUGAUCCUAAAUUGGGACCACAUGUAGAUGUGAAAGCUACAAAUGCAGUGCACUCAGAAUUUGCGUCUCUGCCUUCACUGUUUGCGUGCCUCUGAGUAGAUGAUGAUAAUGUUGGCUUUGGUCCCCAAGGAGCCUGAGUUUUUUAGAUCCUAGUAUGAGGGGGAAAAGCAGAAGAAGAAAGAGAAGGAAUGAAAACAAAUGCCUUUCAAGACAAAAUAUCCGAAUGGGUUUCAUUUUGCUUAUCUGCCAACAGGCUCAACCCAAUUUAGAUCUCUCCUACAAGGACAGGAUAGUGCCAGCCAGGGUGUCUGCCCUUGCCGGCUAUGUGGGGCAGUCCCUGUGAGGGACCAGGCUCGAAUUCAGAGCAGAAGGAUCACUCUAGCAAACUGCCAGGGCCAGCCCUCUGCCCUGAGGCAAGUCAAUGAAUUAGCCAAUUCAGCACAGAUAGAAUCAUUCCUUUGUUUUUCUCAAUUACCAAAUGCUGUGUGCUUUGGGGGUCACUUGUCAUGUGAGUUUAGAGAAUGUGGAUAUUGCAACAUAAACCCUCACCAUUCUAAACAGCUUAAACUAAAUUCUGUUACUAGGGAGGAGAGCUGAGGUGAUAAUAUCCAUCUCUAAGUAUAAACUAUUGUGUGUUCAUUUUCCCAUUAUGGGAGACAAAUUUCUCUUCUCCGCUAGUGCUCAUGAUCUCUUCCACCAGGCACAAACAUCAGAUGUGUGUUUAUGUGGACAUAUUUUGUCCCCUAUUAUUGGAGAGCAAGCUCCUUGAGAGAAGGGAUUAUGCUGCCUGGAUUUGUAACUUUGUUAGGCAAAGCAUGACUUUAUUUAGUUUUGAAUUGAUGAGGAGGCACUGAUGUUAGUAAAAAGCUCAAAUGUCCUGAGCCCUGUUGCUCAAUACCUCAAACACAGGACCAUGAUCACCACAAUGAAAAAUAUGCAGGAUCAUUAAUUUCGGCUCUGUUAAUUGUGCUGUUAGGAAAUGUUGACUAGAUAGGAAAAGCAGCUAACGUUCAUGGAGUGCUUAUUACAUACCAGGUACUGAGGUAAGCAUUUUACAUACAGUAUCCGAUUUGUAUCCUCCCACAAGCAUGUUAUCCCCGGGUUAAAAGGGGAGGAAUUGGGGUCCAGUGAGAUUGGGAGGUUAUGAGAAUCCCACAGUGUGUGGCAGAAUGUGGACUUGAACUCAGGGCCCUAACAACAGGAAGCUAUAAAAGCCUCUUUGUAUAAAAAGUGCUCUCUUUCUGUGGGUCCUCAGUAAAUGAAAAUAUUUGCUUUUCAUAAAUAGGUUUGAAUGUUGGGACCCUCAUUUCUCACCAGGAGUCAAGGCCAAAAGGUCUUAUAAAUAAGAGUGAAUUUUGAGAAAGGAUGUGUGAAAAUGACUCUGUUCUUUUCUUUUAUCUCACUUCAGUUACUUGGGAUGGAGGAAGCAGAAACUGGGAGUCAGACAUCUAAAAUAUGAAGUUCCACCCUCAUGUUGGCCAUUUCUUUCAGCCUCCUUUCCCCAUUCCUAGGGGCCAAUCUGUUUCUCCCUCUCCUGCUCUUUCUCUUUGCCUCUGUCUUCUUCUUUCCUGUGGAGACAAUAGCGUGUGGUGGAACUGCCUGAGUGCUUACUGAGAAGGAGAAACCAAGCGCAGAUUGUAUAGAAGCUGACGAAUGAGUCCUCUGAUUGUGGACAAGUGAUGGCGCUUUUUGUAAAAUUGUGUAUGUGUUUACCUCAAGUAGUG